rnacentral:rRNA from 1 species
UACGUAGGUGGCAAGCGUUGUCCGGAAUUAUUGGGCGUAAAGCGCGCGCAGGCGGUUCCUUAAGUCUGAUGUGAAAGCCCACGGCUCAACCGUGGAGGGUCAUUGGAAACUGGGGGACUUGAGUGCAGAAGAGGAGAGCGGAAUUCCACGUGUAGCGGUGAAAUGCGUAGAGAUGUGGAGGAACACCAGUGGCGAAGGCGGCUCUCUGGUCUGUAACUGACGCUGAGGCGCGAAAGCGUGGGGAGCAAACAGG